ACUAGUCUCCCUGUGGUUUAUGUAUAUGUGUGGAUGCGGUGGUUGGUUUUUGAAGUUCUGUCUGGGUGAAAAUGCGCAGGAAAUGCUCACAUUGUGGGAACAUGGCCAUAAUUCAAGGACUUGCACCAUUUAGAGAGGAAG